rnacentral:rRNA from 1 species
UACAGAGGGGGCAAGCGUUGUUCGGAAUUACUGGGCGUAAAGGGCGCGUGGGCGGCCUGCUAAGUCGAACGUGAAAUCCCUGGGCUCAACCCAGGAACUGCGUCCGAUACUGGUUGGCUUGAAUCCGGGAGAGGGAUGUGGAAUUCCAGGUGUAGCGGUGAAAUGCGUAGAUAUCUGGAGGAACACCGGUGGCGAAGGCGACAUCCUGGACCGGUAUUGACGCUGAGGCGCGAAAGCCAGGGGAGCAAACGGG